AGCGAACGCUGGCGGCAGGCCUAACACAUGCAAGUCGAACGAACCUUUCGGGGUUAGUGGCGGACGGGUGAGUAACACGUGGGAACGUGCCCUUAGGUUCGGAAUAACUCAGGGAAACUUGUGCUAAUACCGAAUGUGCCCUUCGGGGGAAAGAUUUAUCGCCUUUAGAUCGGCCCGCGUCUGAUUAGCUAGUUGGUUGAGGUAAUGGCUCACCAAGGCGACGAUCAGUAGCUGGUCUGAGAGGAUGAUCAGCCACAUUGGGACUGAGACACGGCCCAAACUCCUACGGGAGGCAGCAGUGGGGAAUCUUGCGCAAUGGGCGAAAGCCUGACGCAGCCAUGCCGCGUGAAUGAUGAAGGUCUUAGGAUUGUAAAAUUCUUUCACCGGGGACGAUAAUGACGGUACCCGGAGAAGAAGCCCCGGCUAACUCCGUG
rnacentral:rRNA from 1 species